GGCAGGGAAAGGGGGGCGGCUCGGGGUGGGGGAAGCCCUGGUCCCUCGGUGGGAAUUGCUCAGAUCCCCGUCCCUUUCCCAGCCCCGCCGCGGCAACAUUUAUUGCAAAAGCAGGAAAUUGCUUAUUACUAAACUAGCUGGCAAGGGAGCAGAGCCGAUGCUGUUCCACACUGGCACAGCACUUGCUUAGCUGCUGCUUCCCCUGCCUCUCCUUGUUCCGCUCUUUCUUCUUCUUCUUUCCCCUCUUUCUCUCCUCUCUCCCUCGCUCUCUCUUCUUUUUUUCAUUUUGGCUUCUAUUCAAAUGUGGGUCAGGGGUGAGCGGCUCCCAACGUCACAAGCUUGCAAGAUGGCGCUGGGAGGAAGGCUGUGAGAUGAGGAACAGGCUGGUAUAAACCGAGAGGACAGGAGAGGGAGAGGAGGAGAGGGGAAAGGGAAGAAAAGCUGCUGCUCCAGAUGCAAUAAGAAGGGAGCUAUUCUGUUCUGAAUCAGCAUGGGAUAGAGUGCCUAGAAGACGUUCAGACCAAGCUCAGCUAGCGCGUCCCUGCUGGUUCUCCAUUCUGCAUCCGUGCAGCCACGUUCUAUUGAUGGCCUGUUGUGAUUUCAAUGGAACAUCAUGGGAUGUACCUGGCACGUCGGGCAGCACUGGAUGGAGGUGCCUUUAGCCCAAUGUACCUGGCAUGUACUGUUAACUCACUGUUCAGGUGCUUGGUGUCUAGCCUUCUCAUCCAGCCACAAAUCCUCUACGUGAAAUGAGUGAUUCCUUAGAUCUGUUUAUGAUUGAUUCUUUGCUUCACUGGUGUUGCUUCUUAAAAGGUAAACAAUAUUCAUGUGCUGCAAUCUAUAACUCAGAGAUGAAAUCAAAGAGCAUCUCCUGCCAGAAGUUGCUAAGAUAACACAUUUAGCAUUCAUUCAGCAAUUACUUUUGGAUAGAGAUUUAGCGAUAUUAAAGAGAAUCAAACCUGUAGUGAAUAUGUAGAUUUUAUACUGGUGAGAGAGGUGAAGGGAUUUCUCUUCUCCUCUGUUUAGCAAUUUCAUUUUCUGUGGUGUCCAGAGUC
rnacentral:lncRNA from 1 species